GCCUCGAUAGCUCAGUUGGGAGAGCGUUAGACUGAAGUCCCGGAAGCCGAUAUACUGGCUUGACAAAAAUGGACAUCUAAAGGUCCCUGGUUCAAUCCCGGGUCGAGGCA
rnacentral:tRNA from 1 species